GUUUUCUCUCUGCUUCAGUUGGUUUUCUUCAAUUUUAGAUUUUCGAUUUUAAAUCCCCAGGCUAUUACUAAACCAGUUACAGAUGAAUGUGCUCUCAUUGAAGAAAAUGCGGAAUUCAUUUUCGGCAAUCUUACUUACUUGAAUUUGUUGACGUGGAUGAGAAUCAAAUAGCGCAAUGGAACCGUAGAACCCCUCCCCUCAAGAUUUUGGAGUCACCUCGAAUGGACGAAGAAGCACAAUAACUUUGUCUAUGAGAAUCGUCAUUUGUCCCCAGAAAUGCCUAAUUAGUUGCAGUUGGAAGAAGAAAAAAUUAACCAUACAUCCAUCAUAGCUAGCUGACUACCUCCCAUCCUCCCAAACCAUACCUUUGUCUAUGGUGGCAGACUAGCAGUUGAGGUUAGCAGACUUGCAAGCAUUAAGGUUGAGAGACAGAC